rnacentral:rRNA from 1 species
GAUGAACGCUGACAGAAUGCUUAACACAUGCAAGUCGACUCGAGUCUUCGGACUUGGGUGGCGCACGGGUGAGUAACGCGUAAAGAACUUGCCUCUUAGACCGGGACAACAUCUGGAAACGGAUGCUAAUACCGGAUAUUAUGGUUUUUUCGCAUGGAGGAAUCAUGAAAGCUAGAUGCGCUAAGAGAGAGCUUUGCGUCCCAUUAGCUGGUUGGUGAGGUAACGGCCCACCAAGGCAAUGAUGGGUAGCCGGCCUGAGAGGGUGAACGGCCACAAGGGGACUGAGACACGGCCCUUACUCCUACGGGAGGCAGCAGUGGGGAACAUUGGACAAUGGACCGCAAGUCUGAUCCAGCAAUUCUGUGUGCACGAUGACUUUUUUCGGAAUGUUAAGUGCUUUCAGUCGGGAAGAAGUCAGUGACGGUACCGACAGAAGAAGCGACGGCUAAAUACGUGCCAGCAGCCGCGGUAAUACGUAUGUCGCAAGCGUUAUCCGGAUUUAUUGGGCGUAAAGCGCGUCUAGGCGGCAAGGUAAGUCUGAUGUGAAAAUGCGGAGCUCAACUCCGUAUGGCGUUGGAAACUGCCUUACUAGAGUACUGGAUAGGUAGGCGGAACUACUAGUGUAUAGGUGAAAUUCGGAGAUAUUUGUAGGAAUGCCGAUGGGGGAAGCCAGCCUACUGGACAUAUACUGUCGCUGAUGUGCUAAGGCGUGGGUUGCAGAUAGGAUGAUAUACCCUAUUAUUCCCAUGUCGAAUUCUCCAGUUGUGAUUUUGUUCACCGAUUCUCCGCCUCCCGGGGGGGCACACAAAACAUAUUAUUGUUCUCUUUAAUGAUGCUUCAUUAUGUCGUGUGCCUGUUUGCUUCUCCACCUGUUCUGCUUGUGUGUUGUUCUUAUCUUCUGUGUGUUUGUGUUUCUCGCUGUGCUGCUUCUCUCUUCUUCUGUUGUCUGUUUUUUCUGUUCCAUUAUCUCCGAUGCUGUUGUCCUUAGCAUCUUGCAAUUCCCCUGCCCCUAACCUUCCUGUCCUAUCUUGUGUGCUUGUGUUCUGUUGAUAUUCUAUCAUUACUGUUUGCUGUGUUGUAGCUGCCCUUCUUACUGUGGACUGAUGGCGUAAUGUCUCCUUACUAUUCU